rfam:Variovorax sp. Root473 contig_6, whole genome shotgun sequence.
UCGAUUAUUCGCACCAUCUUCCAGAUGGUGGGUUAGCGCGCGGUUCCACAAGUUCACGCCAUACGACCCGCCCCACGAGGCGGGUUUU